UGAGUAACCUGCCCUUCACUUCGGGAUAACUCCGGGAAACCGGGGCUAAUACUGGAUGUGACCUGGUGCCGCAUGGUGCUGGGUGGAAAGUUUUUCGGUGGGGGAUGGACUCGCGGCCUAUCAGCUUGUUGGUGAGGUAAUGGCUUACCAAGGCGACGACGGGUAGCCGGCCUGAGAGGGCG
rnacentral:rRNA from 1 species